AUUGAACGCUGGCGGCAGGCCUAACACAUGCAAGUCGAGCGGAGUGGCGGAAGGGUGAGUAAGGCCUAGGAAUCGGACUGGUAGUGGGGGAUAACGUCAGGAAAAGGGCGGUAAUACCGCAUACUAACAGAUGAGGCUAGGUCGGAUUAGGUAGUUGGUGGGGUAAAGGCAUACCAAGGCUACGAUCCGUAACUGGUCUGAGAGGAUGAUCAGUCACACGGGAACGAUGACACGGUCCAUACUCCUCCGGAAUGCAGCAGUGGGGAAUAUUGGACAAUGGUCGAAAGCCUGAUCCAGCCAUGCCGCGUGUGUGAAGAAGGUCUGCGGAUUGUAAAGCACUUUAAGUUAGGAGGCGUUACCAACAGAAUACGCACCGGCUAACUUCGUGCCAGCCGCCGCGGUAAUAC
rnacentral:rRNA from 1 species